rnacentral:piRNA from 1 species
CACAUGGCACUGGUGUGAAAGAG